AUGAAGAGGCGCAGGCGGGCGGACCGGCUGAGCGCUCUCCCCGACGAGAUGCUCGAGCGCAUCCUCUCCCACCUCCGGUCCGACGAGGCCGUGCGCACAAGCGUCCUCUCCCGGCGAUGGCGCGACGUCUACGCCGGGGUACCCGUCGUGGACCUCGUCGAUCCCAAGGGCGGCAGGUGGAACGAGGUCCGGGUCUGCUUCGACCAGCAGGUGACGGGCGCGAUCCUCUGCAAGGGCCCGGGGACGCCCAUCCGCACCUUCCGCCUCAGCAUCUCCAACCCACCGCGCGACCUGCUCGAUCAGUGGAUCGUCUCCGCAGUCUCCUCUUGCGUCGAAGAGAUCAACGUCAAGCUCAUAUACUGGUUUUCCUCCGACCACCGCCUCUGCCCCUUUACCUCGUCGGGCUCGGCGGACUUCGAUAGCUAUGAUAGGGGAAGGUACGUCAGGACGCAGCACCACCUCUUUGGGUGCCCCACUCUCCGCCGCCUGCGCCUGACAAACUGGACGCUCGAUCUGCCAGGAAGAGUGUCCAUGGAGUCGCUGGAGAUGCUCUGCCUUGCGAGGAUCAUGUGCCCAGAAGGGAUGUUGCAGCAGCUGCUUUCGAGCUGCCCACGCCUCGCUGACCUGACCCUGCAGGAGUGCCCAAGUCUCAGGAAAAUCACGGUGAUCAGCCCCCACCUGCGGAGUUUCACCAUGAUCUGCUGCCACCAUGCCAGGCGCAUCAAGCUGAGCAGCUCAUGCAUCCGGUCACUGCACUAUAAAGGCGGCCUUCCACGCAAGUCGCUCUUCAAGCUCGCAAACCAUGCCGGAGUCACGGCGCUGACAGUUGAAAUUUGUGAAGGCCUCUCCGGAAAGGAACCAACAGAAUUUGCUCCGGCCACUAAGCUCAUCAAACGGUGCACCAAACUGGCGUACCUUCACCUUUCCUUGCGCCCAUCAAUGGCUUACUAUAGCAGCCUGUUCAAAGAUGCGGUGCCCUGCCUACAGCAUCUUAGGCAGUUAGGCCUCCAGUGUUGCCUACGCAACGAUCGCGACAUCCAGUCAGUUGCCAUCUUGCUUUGUGACACCCAGAACUUGGAGGUACUGUCGCUGUUUCCUCUGGAUGCAAAGACUCCAACGGACAUGCACACCGAAUCAGAUAGCGAGCCUGAGAACGACGGUGAGGAUGGUGCCGAUUAUAGUAGCCAGGUGACCGAUGGUGGUUUCUGGCCAACGCCCAUCAACUGCUUGGAUGAUAAGCUGAGAAGAAUCAACAUUGGGAUGUACACAGGGCUGCAACUCCAAAAGAUGCUUGCAAAGUUUCUGCUUUCAAAGGCUGCAGCUUUGGAGGAAUUCUCGGUGACCUUAACGGCUGGAUGUUCCCAAAAUAAGCGUAAGAUUGCAAAGAAGCUAAGAUCCUGGCGAUCGAAUCACCAUACCAGAGUAACUGUAAAUAGAUGA
rnacentral:rRNA from 1 species